UACGUAGGGUGCGAGCGUUGUCCGGAAUUAUUGGGCGUAAAGAGCUCGUAGGCGGUGUGUCACGUCGGCCGUGAAAACCUGCAGCUUAACUGUGGGCGUGCGGUCGAUACGGGCAUCACUGGAGUUCGGCAGGGGAGACUGGAAUUCCUGGUGUAGCGGUGAAAUGCGCAGAUAUCAGGAGGAACACCGGUGGCGAAGGCGGGUCUCUGGGCAGUUACUGACGCUGAGGAGCGAAAGCGUGGGGAGCGAACAGG
rnacentral:rRNA from 1 species